ensembl:lncRNA
AUCAUUAUCUGACUGAUGCAAUGUUCACAUUCACCUAGCACAAACACAUGAACAGGGAGAAGAUGAUCUGGAUCCUUCUGCUCGUCGGCCUGACCUCCUCUGUCUGUGGUUAGUAGGACUGAAACCAACAAUUCAUUUCAUUAACGAUUAAUCUGCUGAUUAUUUCUUCCAUUAAUCCAAUCAAACUGUUUAUGAAUGUAAAGAAAGUUGUGAAAAAUCUCCCAUAAAGACUUCCAGAGGCCAAAGUGACGUCCUUAAACUGCUUGUUUAGUUCAACCAACAAUUAAAAACCAAACAUUAUUUCAUUCACUGUCAUAUAUUACAAAGACAAACAGCAAACCUGCCCAUAUGAGAAGCUGGAAGCAGCAAAUAUUUGGUUUUGUUUCACUAAAAAUGACAAUUAAUGUAAUAUAAUUUCUUGGAAUGAAUUAAAUGGAUGAAUCACACACUAGUAGCUCUAGUGGUUAGUUUAUGUGUAAGUCUCAGUACAUCUGACAGAAAUGAGGUGAAGAUCGAUGUCUGACUCUACAUAACGUCUCUAUUGUGCCUCUCUUUGCCCUUUCUCUCGUCGACAGGGAUGUUUGUCUUGAAAAAGACUCCGACCUUCUAUCAGGCAGAGGAGGACGAUAACAUCACCAUCGGAUGGGACAGUCCCAUCAUGUCCCUCACCAUUCUGCGUUGUUUCUUCCAGUCAGAGCCUCUGAAGCUUUUCUAUGAAAUGGUUGACGGUGUGGAGUCCUCAGAGUCUCAGCAUCAGCAGUUUGCAGGACGGGUGCAGUGUGACAAAGACGUCCUCAGAGGAGGACGAGUCAGACUUCAUAUGUCCAGAGUCAGGACUGAUGACUCUGGACGUUACUGGUGUGAUCUGGCUGCUAAUUAUGACAAGAUCAGGAGAAGAUGGGGGCUAGAGACCACUGAACAUUUUGUACUGAAUGUGGCCCAGACCAAUGAUGGAGAGAGCAGUGAUGUGUCUCUCAACUCAUCAAAGUCUCAAGUGGCAGCAACUAAAGGUCAACAUGGUGCAGGACAGCCACCAGGAAGCCCAAAACAUGAAGUCAUAGCUCCACUAUUAAUAGUAGCUUUGGUUUUUGUUGCUGUAAUCUUGGCAACUUGGACAUUUCUGACAGCAUGUGCUUGUGAAGACCGAGGACAACAACCUCAAGACCAGGAUGGACGUUACAUCGUGCUCCCGAUUGAGAUAGUCCCCAUCCUGACCCACUCCAGAUGUGAGUGGACAUUUGGCAGCAUUGACACUGAGCUUAUUUUGGGAUCCUAUUUCACUUUUUACAGUCUGGGUUCAAACUGCUAGAAUGAAGCACUAAAAUGAAGGUAAAGUUACAGUUAAUUAUCCUCUUCCCUGUCCAUGGAUGCUUGGAUUCAUCCUCACAGUAACAGCUUUAUAACAAGUGGGUUUCUAGCUACCAGAGACAAAUAUGUAUAUAGUGAGUUUGUCUUCUUUUUGAUGUAAGUGUUUUUCUACGUCUCACUGACCCGACUUGAUACAACUUGCAGAGACUUGAACAAGUCUCACACUGGACUGCUCCCAAAUAGGUUUCAUUAGACUGGAAAGGCAACGUCGUCACAAGCUAACAUGAUGAAUAGCAAUGUAUAUGUGGACACCAAAUGGAUUACAUUGUGCUGAUGCCAUUAUGCAAACAAAUUAUGACUCGCUACAUAGUCAAGAUAAAAUGCAUUACCAGUGCCUAAAAUAAUCACAAAAAACUGUAUCUAUAAUCUGAGGAAACAUCAAAAAAUAUCUAAAAAGCAAUGAUUUCUAUAAUAAUGUGAUCUGGUUGCUUUUAUAUAUUUAUAUAUGGAAAUGUGUCCUUUUUCAUUACUAUGCAACAAUGAUACAGACUCAGUGUGAGUAUUUCAAAAAUACUUGUUUGUGAUGUCCAUAUGUCAGUUUGCUGUGUUGCUGCUGGCUAAAGAGGACAUGGAGAGUUAAAUCCAACAUCUUUGAUGGUUACUCAGUAAAAAAGAACAGAAUAUUAUUUAUAUGUAUUAAAAAACACUCAAAAGUAGGAGGUCCUCUAAUGGAGCUACAGGCUAUGUACAGUAUUCAGAUCAAUGUCUGGAAGAAAUAAUGAUGGAUAUAUAUUGUGAAAUACAAAUUCAUUUGAUCAGGUCUGAUAUCAUUUCAGCGUUACCAUUUAGUUUUAAACUGUUUAUAUAGUUUAUAAGGACAAGAAACCAGAUGUGACAUUAUUAGUGCUAACGAGGGAUGUGGAAGGUUAGGUAGUUACUGGAUCGUUAUAAUGACAGUAGAGAUGUAAGGUAGUUUGGAAGCUUUAGAACAGUAGAGCUUUAUAAAUGAAUAACAUGGGAUGGAUAUUUCUAGUUGACAGUAAGUCCAUCCAACUCUUUGAUACAGAGAACAGUGAUGGGUGCAAGAUUAGUCAUUAGUGAUAAAGAGUAAUGCACUGUGAUACACAGGGUUUAACUGCUGAACUGCUGUUAUUGAUGUACAAAAUAAACAGCAAAGACCCAAGAAGAGACUCCUGUGGCAUCCCAUUUCUUUAAAAAACAUUUUUUGAAUGCAUUAUCAUCUGAGGUGGGACACCUAAACUCCUGUGUGUCUAUUUCCUGUUCUAACUAAAUCCAGUCAGCAGGACUGGAGCCAAGGACACUUUUCAGUGUUUUAGGAUUCUGACCAGAUUAAUGUUGAGGAUAUAAAUCUGUCAUAAAUGAAAGACAAUGUUAUAACAUUAUAUUGAGGAACUAAAUAUGCAUUCAAGUGAUGAAAAUGUGUUUUUGGUAUUUCUGUUCCUUGCCCCACUUUAUGAAAUAUGAUUGAGAAUGUGUGCUGCAUGCUCUGGUCAAUCUGGAAUAGUCAUUCAGGUUCUUGGAGGAAAUAUGCAUUUAAGGACUUUCUGAAGUUGCAUACAUUACACACAUGGUUGUUCAUCAUGUACAAAUAUGACAUGCUUGACCAUGUCUUUACCAACAUGGCCACACACGUCCUCC